UAAGACGAACCGUGCGAACGUUGUUCGGAAUCACUGGGCUUAAAGGGCGCGUAGGCGGGCGGCCGCGUCCGGGGUGAAAUCCCGCCGCUCAACGGCGGAACGGCCUCGGAUACGGGCGGCCUCGAGGGGGGUAGGGGCGUGCGGAACUCUGGGUGGAGCGGUGAAAUGCGUUGAUAUCCAGAGGAACUCCGGUGGCGAAGGCGGCACGCUGGACCCCUUCUGACGCUGAGGCGCGAAAGCCAGGGGAGCGAACGGGAUUAGAUACCCCGGUAGUCCUGGCCCUAAACGAUGGGGACUAGGUAGCGGCCCGGACAUGGGGUCGCUGCCGGAGCCAAAGUGCUAAGUCCCCCGCCUGGGGAGUAUGGCCGCAAGGCUG
rnacentral:rRNA from 1 species